rnacentral:rRNA from 1 species
GAUGAACGCUGGCGGCGUGCCUAAUACAUGCAAGUCGAGCGAACAGAUGAGGAGCUUGCUCCUUUCACGUUUGCGGCGGACGGGAGAGUAACACGUGGAUAACGUACUUAUAAGACUGGUAAAACUUCGGGAAACCGGAGCUUAUCCCGGAGAAUAUAUUGAUCCGCAUUGUUCAAUAGUGAAACACGGUUUUGCUGGCACUUAUAGAUGGAUCCGCGCCGCAUGUGGUAGUUGGUAAGGUAACGGCUUACCAAGGCAACGAUGCGUAGCCGACCUGAGCGGGUGAUCGGCCACACUGGAAGUGAGACACCGACCAGACUCCUACGGGACGCAGCAGUAGGCAAUCUUCCGCAAAAGGCGAAAGCCUUACGGAGCAACGCCGCGUGAGUGAUGGAGGUCUUCGGAUCGUAAAACUCUGUUAUUAGGGGAGAACGAUUGUGUAAGUAACUAUGCACGUCUUGACGGUACCUAAUCAGAAGGCCACGGCUAACUACGUG